rnacentral:rRNA from 1 species
GCCUAGGGUAAAAUCGGUAAUUGGGGCUAAGUCGUAACAAGGUAGCCGUAUCGGAAGGUGCGGCUGGAAUACCUCCUUUUUAGAGCUCAUU